UAGGGUAGUAAAGCUCUUUUGUCCGGGACGAUAAUGACGGUACCGGAAGAAUAAGCCCCGGCUAACUUCGUGCCAGCAGCCGCGGUAAU
rnacentral:rRNA from 1 species